AAUAUAGUUGAGUUUGGUGAUGGCUCUGAUUGAACACUGUCCAAGUGACUUGACACAUGCUAAUCGAACGAUUUAAUUAUAGGCUUUAUUUCUAGCAGCAGCAUUAAAGCUCUUUUAUUAAAAAGUAGUGUACAGGUGAGUAUAAUAAUAUUUAUGACCGACCUUAGAGUGAAGGUAAUCUUCAUAUAUAAAGGAUUAGUAUCCACUUAAGAGGACGAUAAAUAUUUUCGGAAUAGGUAGUAGUGAAGGUUAUGUCUUCACUAGCCUUAACUCUCGUAGUCGAAGCUGAAGUUAAUCGACCACAUUGGGUCUGAAAAAAGCCCAAUGCAAGUUAGUACAGCAGUGAGGAUAUUGGUCAAUCGUAACGGCUGAACUGGCAACUUGGAGAAGUGUUAAGUCUUUAAUUUUGAAUCCUUAGCUUACUUUGUAAGUUAAGGCUAGAUUUAAACAAAAAUUAAAGAUUAAAUUAGUAUUGAAUGAAACUUUGUUUAUAUAUCGAUAAUGACGAUAUAUAUAUUAUGUCUUGACCAAUUACGUGCCAGCAGUCGCGGUAAUACGUAAGAGACUAGUGUUAUUCAUCUUAAUUAGGUUUAAAGGGUACUCAAACGGUCCUGUUCGCAUAAAAAGACUAGAGUUAUAUAGAAGAAGGUAGUACCUUAAGUGUAGAGAUUAUAUUUGGUCAUACUCGAGGGACUUAGAAAAGGCGUAGGUCAACCUUCUAAGCAAUAACUGACUGUUGAAGGACGAAGGCUAUAGGUCACGAACAGGAUUAGAUACCCAAGUAGUCUUUGCAGUCAAUGAUGAAUGCCAUAGGUUAGAUAAAAAUUUAGUCUAUAAAUGAAAGUGUAAGCAUUUCACCUCAAGAGUAAUGUGGCAAUGCAGGAACUGAAAUCACUAGACCGUUUCUGACACCAGUAGUGAAGUAUGUUGUUUAAUUCGAUAAUCCACGAAAAACCUUACCACAAUUUGUAUAUUUUACAGGAGUUGACAGGAGUUGCACGGAUGUCUGCAGUUGAUGUUGUGAAACUGUGGUUUCCAUGAAUUAACUCAAUCCCUUGCUUUAUUUUUGUAAAUUACUAUAAAGCAUUUGACCCAAGAAUAUGGGAAGAAAAAAGGGAGUAAGACAAGUCAAUCAUGGCCUUAAUAUUGUGGGCUAUAGACGUGCCAACAUAAGCCUAUACAAAGAGAUGCAAAAAUGUGAAUUGUUAGCAAAUCUCCAAAAUAGGAAAUAAAAAGGAUUGUAGUCUGAAAUUCGACUACAUGAAUAAGUAAUUACUAGUAAUCGUGAAUCACCAUGUCACGGUGAAUGUUUCUCGGAUUGGUACUAACCACUCGUCGCAUGCUGAAAGGAGUUUAUACAAUAAGUUUGCUCUUUUAUAGUAAAAAAAUAAAAUAAUAAGAUUUUAUAGCUAUUAUUAUAGAAUUCUUCGUAUGUAUAGCUCUAAUUAGUGUUAAGUCGAAAUACGGUUCCCGUAGCGGAAGUUGCGCGGGAAUAAUUAAUCUUG
rnacentral:rRNA from 1 species